rnacentral:lncRNA from 12 species
ACUAUCCAGCAUUUUAUCUUGAAUUGUGGGUAACAGCCUUACUGCAAGCUGGCCUAGUUUACUGCUCUGUUUUUUCCAGAUCUCCCGAAGUGCAGCAAACAUCUGUGACUCUAAUGAGGUCAUCAUUGAGGGUGUCCAGAGAGCCGGGCCCUGAGAACUGACCUCACCUCUGCCUGAACAUAAAGUACAAGUGCUGUGGGGAAGCAGGACAAAUUAAAUGGGGGAGCUGGCACUUGGCUAUGAAGCAGAUGCUCAUGCUAAGAGGCUCUCAUGGUUCAUGACUCGUAGGUUAUGAAGUCAAAAGAUUCUUGGCUAUGGCUUUAAAAAUGAACAUCUUCAUGACUCAUUUUAAUCCAGAUCUCAUCACAUGCAUGGAAAGAGAUGUGUUCGGGUGACUACAUUUUAGAAAACGGUGUCUGUCAGAGAAUCAUUGCCAUCCACAUGUGAGCGAUAUCAAGAGAAAUAUCUUUCUGACUCAAGCUUAUGCCUAUUCUGUUUUGAUUGUUCUUAAUCUACAAGUGUCCUUGAAAACCAA